GUGCUCAUUUUGGCCGCACAUAUGCUAAAAUUGGAACAAUUCAGAGAAGAUUAGCAUGGCCCCUGCACAAGGAUGACAUGCAAAUUCAUAAAGCGUUCCAUAUUUUU